AGCGUAGACGGCGAAGCAAGUCUGAAGUGAAAACCCAGGGCUCAACCCUGGGACUGCUUUGGAAACUGUUUUGCUAGAGUGUCGGAGAGGUAAGUGGAAUUCCUAGUGUAGCGGUGAAAUGCGUAGAUAUUAGGAGGAACACCAGUGGCGAAGGCGGCUUACUGGACGAUAACUGACGUUGAGGCUCGAAAGCGUGGGGAACAAACA
rnacentral:rRNA from 1 species